UGUAGUUAGAAGCUUGGCUUGGGAAUCCAUUGAUUGAAAUUGUUUGGACUGGCAGUAGAACAAAGUACAAAUGGUUAAGCAGAUUCCUCAAAUUCUGCUAAAACAAGAGGAAAGAUAAGAAAACCAGAAACGUCACCUCCAUCCUGGCCAAUGUAGAAGAGCUAAUAGGUGAAUGACAGCAUAUUUUUAAUCCAUUAUGGAAUGUUGGUUUGUUUUCUUGUUUAAUGGCUUCCUUUCUUUAGGAGAACCUGAUACAAGCAAGCAGAAUUCUGGAAGGCAACAUCUUGAGAGCUCUGAAGUGACAAUGGGAUUCUGGGAAAGUCAGUUCCUGGAGCCCCAGUCUCUUCAUCUGCAAAAUAGAAAUAAUGAUUACAACGGAGACUCUCCUGCCUGCUGGGUGGCACCACAGGAGAAGUGUUUUAGAAAGUCCUCUGUAUGUUCAGGGUAGCAUUAACACCACCUCCCACUGCCUCCUGCCAAUAAGAGCCUACAAAAGAAACACAGCCAGGAAAUACAAGGUGUCAAAUGUUGGAUCUGAAUGAUAAGAAUAUAGAUGGGGAACCCAACUAAGGCUUAGAGAGGUGAAGCAAGGAAAGAAGAGCUGGG